rnacentral:rRNA from 13 species
AUGACAGUACUUGGUAAAGAAGCCCCGGCUAACUUCGUGCCAGCAGCCGCGGUAAUACGAAGGGGGCUAGCGUUGUUCGGAAUUACUGGGCGUAAAGCGCACGUAGGCGGACUUUUAAGUCAGAUGUGAAAUCCCGAGGCUCAACCUCGGAACUGCAUUUGAAACUGGGAGUCUAGAGAUCAGGAGAGGUUAGUGGAAUACCGAGUGUAGAGGUGAAAUUCGUAGAUAUUCGGUGGAACACCAGUGGCGAAGGCGACUAACUGGACUGAUACUGACGCUGAGGUGCGAAAGUGUGGGGAGCAAACAGGAUUAGAUACCCUGGUAGUCCACGCCGUAAACGAUGAAUGUUAGCCGUCGGGCAG